CUACGUGCCAGCAGCCGCGGUAAUACGGAAGGUCCAGGCGUUAUCCGGAUUUAUUGGGUUUAAAGGGUGCGUAGGCCGUUUGAUAAGCGUGCUGUGAAAUAUAGUGGCUCAACCUCUAUCGUGCAGCGCGAACUGUCGAACUUGAGUGCGUAGUAGGUAGGCGGAAUUCGUGGUGUAGCGGUGAAAUGCUUAGAUAUCACGAAGAACUCCGAUUGCGAAGGCAGCUUACCGUAACGUUACUGACGCUUAAGCACGAAGGUGCGGGUAUCGAACAGGAUUAGAUACCCUGGUAGUCCGCACAGUAAACGAUGGAUGCUCGCUGUUGGCCUAUUGUGGUCAGUGGCUUAGCGAAAGCGUUAAGCAUCCCACCUGGGGAGUACGCCGGCAACGGUGAAACUCAAAGGAAUUGACGGGGGCCCGCACAAGCGGAGGAACAUGUGGUUUAAUUCGAUGAUACGCGAGGAACCUUACCCGGGCUUGAACUGCAGCUGAACGAUUCAGAGAUGAU
rnacentral:rRNA from 1 species